UAGAUGUGCAGAGAGACAACUGUGAACAACAUCGCUCUACUUCCCACACUGCUGGAUUUCUCUGGGGCUUUAAUAUGCUAAUGAGCAUCAAACAGCCAGAUCCUUCUUCUGCUGAGCACAAAUUAUGCUCUCUGCGUUGAAUAGUUUUGGAAAAUGCAUAAAGUGCACUUUUCUAUGAGGUGUGGAGCGAUAAAUCAUUCAGUAACACAUCCUGCCAUCCUGGGUGUAAUUGGUGACCCUGUUGUAAGACCAGAUUACAUUGUGCCGAAGACAAUAUGAAUGUGACCGAGUGGGUAAACGACAGCAUGUUAGAUUACUGGACACUUGUCAGUAGUUCGUGCACAAUUCAGUCUUUCUCUGUGUUGCAUCUGAACGCCUCUCACCCAGGCUUUAUUCCGUGUCACUGGACUGCAGUAUAGACGACCUGGCUUAGCAGCAUGUGCCAUGGACAGAGCAUACAUAUUGGCUCCAUUCGUGGAAACCUCCAAGAGCUGAGCCUAUUUUUUAUUCAUUAUGCUACGGGCUGUUGCAGAGACCCAGCAAGAGGUGGCACGGAGGGACAGGCAGUGGCAGUCUCGGGGACUUGAGAUUUCAUCCUCAAGGUAGUAGGAAGCCUUCGGAGACUCUUAACCAGUGGCAUGUGAUGAUCAGGGUGGACAACCGUGGCCUGCAGUUCCCGGACAGCCUAAUGUGGGAGCAAUGCGCCACAGAGCUCAGUUUGAAUCCCGGCUGUCAACGACUUAGAGCUAUGGCCCUGUGCCAUUCCCGCAGCCCACCGUGUCCAGCUGCAGACCACCCUCCUCACGCAUCAACACAAGGUCAAUGGUAGCCUAAGACGGCGUCCCAAAGCUAUGUCAUUCCCGUGCCUUCAUCUCGUCACGUGCGCGUUUUAUCAUCUCACGUCACCACAAGAAGCGUACGUACCGUCACAUAGGUAUGUCCGUCUAGGAAACAACGCGGUGUAUGUAGGGGUCGGCACUAUCUGUGGUUUCAGGUGGCAUUGGGGGGCUUGCAGCGCGGGCCCCACUCAUAAGCGAGGGGCUACUGUAUCGACGUGAGGAAUCACAAGGAAGCACCAAAUCCAGGGCCUGUAUUUGAGUCUCAGCUCCAUUGCUGACUGGCUGUGUGAUCCCAGGUAACUCAUACAACCUCUUGAGCCUCAGUUUUCCUCAUCCAUAAAAUGGGAACGCUACUGAUAAUAGGCGCUUCAGGAGACUGUGGUGAACUAAGGUACGUGAGCUUGUUUUUUAAGCUAGAAAGCCUCACCAGUGGUUCCCUGGGAUCAUUUUUCCCCCCAGACUGAAACAGCCUGGUUCUAAAAACCAGGUAACAUUAAGAGAGCCUCUGACUCCGGCCUCACUUGCUUGGCUGGAGUUCAGCUCACUUAAAUUCCUCCCCGGCGGUUCUGAAAUCGCUGGGCCAGAGGUACCGGCAGAGAGUCUGUUUUGCUCUGAGCAAGGAACUCCAAGCCUUUUCUGGGGACAUGGCCCUUUAUGCACAGGCUCUCCCAUUUUCACCCACUUGACCCCACUACCUUUUCUACACCUGGUGGGACUAGGGGUGGACUCUGCUCCCAGGGUAUCUGACGGGCCAACAGCUCCCCAAGCCUCCCCAGGCAUCCACGUGCCGGAGACCCUGCCCCUCUCCUGUGUCGAAGUUUGGACUCCGGGCACAAGAUGGGAGAGGGAGGCUUGGGAGCAGAGUGAGGGUAGCUGAUGGCACACCUCACCCCUGCCGGGGGCAGAGGUGCCCGGUGCCUGGGAGAAGCUAUUCUGCCUCCUGCUGUUCUCCAGCUGUGUUCAGUUCCCCUUCUUUCCGGCCUUCCCUGUAAACCCCCACUGGUUAGGGCAACCCGAAGUGUCGCUGUGUCUCUCAGCUUAGAGGAGCCUGAUUGCCAUGGGAGGAUCUCAAGGUCCCCCCAGAGGGAGUGGAGUUUGCUCAGAGUAAAGUGCAUCAGCUACUCUAUUCGGAAAAUGGAAACACCCGUUAAGUCUACUGACCAGGGACUGGUAAACAGGACCUUGGCAUCUCACCACAGUGAGAUCCUACAGCUGGAAAAUAGCACAAGGAGGCCCGUUAGGUACUGAUACGGGGUGCUUGCUCCACAGGACAUUUUCCUCUGCAAAAAAGUGUGAGAUUCAGAACAGUGUGUGUAAUCUGCUGUCACUUGUGCAGCAGAUCAAAGACUAAAAUAUCUCUGGAAUAUCACACAUAAUCUAACGGCACUAGCUGUCCGUGAGGAACGGAGCCGGGUGGCGGUGGUGAGGGAAGGAAUUUUCACUGAACAUCCUGCAGUGACUUUUCUAAAUCGAGAACACUGAAAUUUAAUCACCUGCUUAAACAGUCAAAUCAGAAAAAAAAGCUUAGAACUGUGGCUUGUGAGGUUGAGCAGUCCUGAGUUCAACUUUGGCUCCACGAUAUAUUGCCGUGCAUUAGCGAGCGAGUGGCUCAACCUCUCUGAACUCGGCUUUCUUAUCUGUAAAAUAAUAACAGUAAUGCCUGCCUGAUAGGACUGUCAUAAUGCUCUACCCUUGUUGACCCACAGUAGCCAUUCAACUUUGAUUGGCUAUUGUUGUCAUUGCCAAUUUCCUCACAAGGCACUUAACAUUUCCCCUUAGCUUGUCCCCUGCUCCUUAAGAUACACGAUUUCAAGGCAGUGGUAUGUUUUGUUUGCAUUCUUUGUCCUUUUUGUUGGUUCGUUUUUGUCCAAUACUUUCCCCAGGAUAAGGGCCAUGGGGGUGGGGCCAAGUAAAUUAGAAUCAGCUUCUGUUGUACUCAAAAUUAGUCCUCUAUUUGAAAUGAGCGCAUUAUUUGGACCCAGCCUAUGCCUAUCUUCCUUUGGAGUGAGUUCUCCCAGUCCCUCCUGUAGUCUCCUGACAGCCCACCAUGGAUCUUUUAAGCACUUCUAAAUGCCUGGUGAACACAGUC